AUGUCGGCGAAGACCACGGUGGUGUCAGCGCCGGGGAAGGCCAUCCUCCACGGGGAGCAUUCCGUGGUUCAUGGCAAGGUGGCCCUGGCAGUGGCUCUCAACCUGCGCACCUUCCUUCAGUUCCGCCCCGGCGACCCCGACCGGGUGACCGUCAGCUUGCCCAACCUCGGCCUCCGGCGGACCUGGGAGGUGUCCGACCUCCGCCGGGUCUUCCCCGAGCCUUUGGACCCGAACCCCUCGGCGGCCCCCGCCCCGGAGAAAAUGGAAAAGCUGAAGGAGUUUGCGGGUCUCGGGCCGGAGCCUCUGGACAGCCAGGGCCUGGCCCUCUUGGCUUUCCUCUAUUUAUACACGGCCAUCGGCGGGACGGACGGCGCCCGGCCGAACGUGGACGUGGUGGUGUGGUCCGAGCUGCCCCCGGGAGCCGGGUUGGGGUCCAGCGCCGCCUUCUCGGUCUGUUUGGCCGCCUGCCUGCUGCUGUCCUGCGGCCGAAUCCCCGACCCCCGGAAAGAAGGGGACGACGUGGGCAGGUGGACGGAGGAAGAGCUGGAGCUCAUUAACCUCUGGGCCUUUGUCGGGGAGAAGGUCAUUCACGGGAACCCGUCGGGCGUGGACAAUGCGGUCGCCACGUGGGGAGGAGCACUGAGAUACCAAACCGGGACCAUUUCACAUCUGACGAGGGUGCCGUCUCUGAGGAUCCUGCUGACCAACACCAAGGUUCCCCGGAGCACCAAGGCCCUGGUGGCCGGAGUCCACGAGAAGCUGUUGAAGUUCCCGAAGAUCUUGGCGCCACUGCUGACCUCGAUGGACGCCAUCUCCCAGGAGUGCGAGGGCCUGCUGGCCACCAUGGCCGAAGCCCCCGUCACAAGCCACUACGCGGUGCUGGAAGAGCUGAUGGAUCUGAACCAGCAUUUCCUGAACGCCCUGGGGGUGGGGCACCCCAGCCUGGACCGGCUGUGCCACGUGACGGCCGCCCACGGGCUGCACAGCAAGCUCACCGGGGCCGGCGGCGGAGGCUGUGCCAUCACCCUUCUCGGACCAGGUGUGGAGGCGAGUCAGGUGGAGGCCACCAAGAGGGACCUGCAGGACUGUGGAUACCAGUGCUGGGAGACCGCCAUCGGGGUGCCCGGCGUCACCCUCCACGCGCCGUCCUCCCUGACGACUGAGGUCCUGCGGGCCCUCGACGGCCUCUGACAGACUCGGCCCGCCCCCGGCUCGCUCCAACGGUCACCCCGCUGCCGUGGCUUCCGCUGCAAACGGCCGGCCCCUCUCUCCCCCCCAGCCUUGACACCGUUCCCUCUCCUCUGCGCCCGCGGAAACCCCGUGACGGGCGCAGUGGCGCAGCUCUUCCCAACCCAGACCUACCCGGCCCCAGCCUCCUCUGGCUGCUUCCCUCCCAACCCGCCCCCAUCCCCGUCGCCAACCGGCGUAGUAGAGGGACGCCGCGGCAGUGAUUGGAGUGGGAGGAUCAUUUCCCGUUAUCUUGGACCCGCAGACCGACGUCCGACACACUCCGGGCCUCGUGGGAUCCACCGUGGUGAUUUUUCUCCUACGAGCCAUUGCAGCCGGCCCCCAAAACGGGCCAUUUCGGGGUCCCGGCUAGCCCGCCCCCAGGACGUUCUCCACAGUCUCCUUUCAAUAUCAUCAUCAUC